rnacentral:rRNA from 1 species
GUGGGGAAUCUUGCGCAAUGGGCGAAAGCCUGACGCAGCCAUGCCGCGUGAAUGAUGAAGGUCUUAGGAUUGUAAAAUUCUUUCACCGGGGACGAUAAUGACGGUACCCGGAGAAGAAGCCCCGGCUAACUUCGUGCCAGCAGCCGCGGUAAUACGAAGGGGGCUAGCGUUGCUCGGAAUUACUGUGCGUAAAGGGCGCGUAGGCGGACAGUUUAGUCAGAGGUGAAAGCCCAGGGCUCGACCUUGGAAUUGCCUUUGAUACUGGUUGUCUUGAGUACGGGAGAGGUGAGUGGAACUCCGAGUGUAGAGGUGAAAUUCGUAGAUAUUCGGAAGAACACCAGUGGCGAAGGCGACUCACUGGCCCGUUACUGACGCUGAGGCGCGAAAGCGUGGGGAGCAAACAGGAUUAGAAACCCCUGUAGUCC